rnacentral:rRNA from 1 species
AGUGGCGCACGGGUGAGUAAUGCUUGGGUGACGUACCUCUAUGCUGGGGAUAACUGGAGGAAACUCCGGCUAAUACCGAAUAGUCCCUUAUGGGUAAAGCCGCGAGGCGCGUAGAGAUCGGCCCGAGUCCCAUUAGCUAGUUGGUGGGGUAAGAGCCUACCAAGGCGACGAUGGGUAGCUGGUCUGAGAGGAUGAUCAGCCACACUGGUACUGGAACACGGACCAGACUCCUACGGGAGGCAGCAGUUAGGAAUUUUGCGCAAUGGGGGAGACCCUGACGCAGCAACGUCGCGUGAGUGAAGAAGGCCUUCGGGUUGUAAAGCUCUUUCAGCAGGGAAGAAGAUGACGGUACCUGCAGAAGAAGCACCGGCUAACUCUGUGCCAGCAGCCGCGGUAAUACGGAGGGUGCGAGCGUUAUUCGGAAUGACUGGGCGUAAAGCGCGCGUAGGCGGCUGUCUAAGUCUGAUGUGAAAGUCCUGGACUCAAUCUAGGAAGUGCAUUGGAUACUGGGCGGCUAAGUGUAGGAGAGGAAGCGGAAUUCCAGGUGUAGAGGUGAAAUUCGUAGAUAUCUGGAGGAACAACGGAGGCGAAGGCGGCUCUCUGGACUAUAACUGACGCUGAGGUGCGAAAGUGUGGGUAGCAAACAGGAUUAGAUACCCUGGUAGUCCACACCGUAAACGAUGAAUACUAGAUGUCGGGAGUUCUUACCCUCUCGGUAUCGCAGCUAACGCAUUAAGUAUUCCGCCUGGGGACUACGGUCGCAAGAUUAAAACUCAAAGAAAUUGACGGGGGCCCGCACAAGCGGUGGAGUAUGUUGUUUAAUUCGAGGCAACGCGAAGAACCUUACCUGGGCUUGACAUCCCUCGCUAUCCUGUGAAAGCAGGAGUUCCCUUCGGGGACGGGGUGACAGGUGCUGCAUGGCUGUCGUCAGCUCGUGUCGUGAGAUGUUGGGUUAAGUCCCGCAACGAGCGCAACCCUUGUUACUAGUUGCCAGCAUUGAGUUGGGCACUCUAGUGAGACCGCUUGCCGAUAAGGCAGAGGAAGAUGGGGAUGACGUCAAGUCAGCAUGGCCCUUACGUCCAGGGCUACAAACGUACUACAAUGGAUAGGACAGAGCGUAGCGAAGUCGCGAGGCUAAGCAAAUCGCAGAAACCUGUUCUCAGUUCGGAUUGGAGUCUGCAACUCGACUCCAUGAAGUUGGAAUCGCUAGUAAUCGCGGAUCAGCAUGCCGCGGUGAAUACGUUCCCGGGCCUUGUACACACCGCCCGUCACGCCAUGGGAGUUGGUACUGCUUAAAGAGGCUGAGCUAACCUUCGGGAGGCAGGCUUCUAUGGUGG